GGGGGAAGGUGGAGAUGGGUGACAUUACCUCCAGAAGAAGCAAAGGAGUGACGUCUGUAUGCAUGGAGAGGCCCAUACAAUGUCUAAGUAGUGCCUCCAGAGGGCGCCAGACAUCUGACGGGACAGCAUAUGGACGAUGGGUGAGGGUACUAAGUUCUAAGAGGUCAAUUAAAGGCCAAUGCUGAGCCCUUCAAUCAAAAAGAAAGAAUUCCAUCUCCUCUCCUGGCUUCACGGCAACUACUGAAAACCGCGUCCCCUGGGGGACAUGAAGAAAUCAUCUAAUAGCUGUGUGUUUUAUUUCGUUAUUUUUUUAAAAUAGCAAUAUCAUUUUUAAUAGCUAUGUUUUAUAAUCUUGUUAUGUUCUCGUUACAUUAGAUUAUUGCUUAUUAUUUUUUUCCUGGUUGGGAAUCACAGUUUUGACUGCCUUAACUCAUGGCAACAAAACCCCAGGGCAAGUCUCUCUGAAACACA
rnacentral:lncRNA from 1 species